rnacentral:rRNA from 1 species
UAAACGACUCUCGGCAACGGAUAUCUCGGCUCUCGCAUCGAUGAGAACGUAGCGAAAUGCGAUACUUGGUGUGAAUUGCAGAAUCCCGUGAACCAUCGAGUUUUUGAACGCAAGUUGCGCCCGAAGCCAUCAGGCCGAGGGCACGUCUGCCUGGGCGUCACACGUCGUUGCCCCCCUCAGCCUCCUCGGAUGCUGGGUGGGACGGAUGAUGGCCUCCCGUGUGCUUGCUCACGCGGUUGGCAUAAAUAUCAA